AGAGUUUGAUCCUGGCUCAGGACGAACGCUGGCGGCGUGCUUAACACAUGCAAGUCGAACGAGAGCGUAGAGAAAGCUUGCUUUUUCUACAAUCUAGUGGCAAACGGGUGAGUAACGCGUAAACAACCUGCCCUACGGAUGGGGACAACAGCUGGAAACGGCUGCUAAUACCGAAUACGUUCCGAAAGUCGCAUGACUAUCGGAAGAAAGGAUGGCCUCUAUUUAUAAGCUAUCGCCGGAGGAGGGGUUUGCGUCUGAUUAGCUAGUUGGAGGGGUAACGGCCCACCAAGGCGACGAUCAGUAGCCGGUCUGAGAGGAUGAACGGCCACAUUGGAACUGAGACACGGUCCAGACUCCUACGGGAGGCAGCAGUGGGGAAUCUUCCGCAAUGGGCGAAAGCCUGACGGAGCAACGCCGCGUGAGUGAAGAAGGAUUUCGGUUCGUAAAGCUCUGUUGUUAGGGAAGAAUGAUUGUAUAGUAACUAUAUACAGUAGAGACGGUACCUAACCAGAAAGCCACGGCUAACUACGUGCCAGCAGCCGCGGUAAUACGUAGGUGGCAAGCGUUGUCCGGAAUUAUUGGGCGUAAAGCGCGCGCAGGUGGUUUAAUAAGUCUGAUGUGAAAGCCCACGGCUCAACCGUGGAGGGUCAUUGGAAACUGUUAAACUUGAGUGCAGGAGAGAAAAGUGGAAUUCCUAGUGUAGCGGUGAAAUGCGUAGAGAUUAGGAGGAACACCAGUGGCGAAGGCGGCUUUUUGGCCUGUAACUGACACUGAGGCGCGAAAGCGUGGGGAGCAAACAGGAUUAGAUACCCUGGUAGUCCACGCCGUAAACGAUGAGUGCUAGGUGUUGGAUCCUUUCCGGGAUUCAGUGCCGCAGCUAACGCAUUAAGCACUCCGCCUGGGGAGUACGACCGCAAGGUUGAAACUCAAAGGAAUUGACGGGGGCCCGCACAAGCGGUGGAGCAUGUGGUUUAAUUCGAAGCAACGCGAAGAACCUUA
rnacentral:rRNA from 1 species